AUCUAAAUAGCUUAUAAAGAGCAUAAUAUUGAAGAUAUUAGGGAAAUAAUUUUUAUUUUUAGAUA
rnacentral:tRNA from 1 species